AUUCUGAAACGACGCGUAGCGCCAUUUUUAUUGUGGUUAACCUUUAACCGCUGCUUUGAAAUUGAAUUUUCCGUCGCAAUUCGCUAUUUUGAUUUGAAGGCGGUUUUCAUUUAUUUAUUAUCUAAUUAUAGUGCUUUAUUGUGUGUGAAUGUUUUUGUAAACAGUAUAUUAUAAAAGCAAUCAUUUAGUGUUUACCAGUUUAAACGUGUAAUUGUUUUUUUCGUAUAGUUUGAUUUAUUUGAUAAUAUCAUGGUUUAUAAGUGCUCUGUUCCCGGGUGCAGUACUCGAGGCCGAGGUAUUAAAUAUUAUAGUGUGCCGUUCACAAAUAAAAAAAGGUGGGAAGAGUGGUUAAGUUUAUGUCCAUUCCUACAAAAUUAUCCUCCUACUCAACGCGAAAACAUUCGUUUUGUCAUAAACAUUUUAUUCCCGAACAUAUAAAACAGAAUCUAAGAUUAACACCUAAUGCGAUUCCUUUAGUAAACUUAGGAAAUACAGAUAAAUAUAAAGUUACAAACCGAGAUUUGAUAUUAGAAAUUGAACCCACUAGUAGCAUUACUGAACCCUUUAUUUUUAAAGUAGUUAACCCUUCUGAACUUAAUCGACCCACUAUAGAGCAAAAUUGUUCUAUCAUACAAGAACAUCAAAGUUCUGAGCUGUCUAGCACGGUAUCAAUUCAUGCUUCAUUGAAUGAAGCAAAUAGUAGUACUCCAACUCAAUUUACUCCCAAUAUACCUCACAAUACGCAAUACCCAAUAUGUAUAACCCCUUCCACAUCAACCACCAUUGCUGUGUGUAAUGAGCACAAAUUAAAAGUCACAGCCUAGUUAAACGUAGAUUAACUAAUCGUAUUAGAUUAAAUCCCAAUGAAUGUACCCCUCGUAAACGAAUUUUACGCUCUUCAAUUCACAUUUUAAAGAAUAAAUUACGUCUCUUGCAAUCAAGGUAUAAAAGUUAAAGACUAGAUUUGACCUUCAUGCACCAAAACAAAGGUGUUCUUGAAAAAUAUAACAUUUUGAGUACAUAUGGGAAAUUAUUAGUAGAUUCACAAUUACGUUUGACUGGUAAUUCAUUAAAAGGUCGCCGUUACACAGACUCAGAAAAAGUUUUUGCUUUAUCAUUAUAUAAGUUAAGCCCUAAGUGCUAUAGAUUUUUACGAAAACAUUUAGCAUUACCAUGUAAAUCCCGAAUUAAUUCUCUACUCAGCAAUAUUCCUUUGAGGCCUGGUAUUAAUGACUUUAUAUUUCAACAUUUGGCAGAUGCUGCCUUGGAUAAACCCCGCAAUAGACAGGCAAUGCACAUUAAUGUUUGAUGAAAUGUCCAUUAAAAAACACUUAAAUUUUAAUUUCUUUACUGGGGUCAUUGAAGGUUUUGAAGAUAUAGGUUCUGGCAAACGCACAAACAAUGUGGCUGAUAAAGCUUUAGUUUUUAUGUUACGGGGUUUGUUUUCUCCUUGGAAAAUUCCAAUUGCAUUUUAUUUUGCUCGAGAUGGGGUUAAAACAUUUGUUUUAAAAAUAUUAUUAAAGAAAUAGUAUUAGCAGUUUUAAAUCUGGAUUCAUAGUAAGAGCUACAAUCAGUGACCAAGGUUCUGCCAAUGUUGCUGCUAUUAAGUCAUUAAUAUCAGAUUCUAAUGCUGAACUCCUACGUAGUAACAAAUAUACCAAUGACAUCUGUUAUAAAAUCGGCCCAAACCAACUGUACCAUAUCUAUGAUGUACCUCAUUUAUUGAAAUGUUUUCGCAAUAAUUUUCAGAAAAAACCUACUCAUUGGCAACCAAAGGGCAAAGUGGGAGUAUAUUGAGAGACUUUAUAAAGUGGAUGGUUUUGGUGGCAGAGCAAGAAGCACCAAACUUACUGAGAAGCACAUAAAUCCAACUUCAUAUGACAAAAUGAAGGAUCUUUAGGUCAUCAGCAAACAUGAAAGGUGUGGAAUGAUGCAAGCAAUUGAUAAUGUCAUUUAUGAACAUAUUAAAAAUAACAGUCCCAAAUGGGAGCCCUGUGGGCACCCCAGAAGCAAUAUGAUGGAAAUUGGAACUAAAACCAUUAAGAACCACAUGGUCAAAUUUGCAGCCCAAGUUUUUAG
rnacentral:lncRNA from 1 species